CGCGGGAUGAGCAGUCUGGUAGCUCGUCGGGCUCAUAACCCGAAGGUCGUCGGUUCAAAUCCGGCUCCCGCAACCA
rnacentral:tRNA from 1 species